GGGGACGUAAUGGAAUCGACAGGAUUGAUAACUGGUUAGUAAGCAUGCCGGAGCAUGAUGGUUCACUCCGUUAAAAAAUGACUAUUAACUUCCUUUUACAUGGCAACUAUAACUAUGCCAUGGCUGCCUAAGACCAGGUCUUAGAAAGCCUUUGUGCCGUACGCUUGACGCCUGAUACACAGCGUGCCGCAUAUCAUCGACCCCUCGGGCUGGUCUGCUGCGAUGCCCCUGUCAGCAGAUAAGAUAUAGGGGAUAAGGGUGAUGCAUGGGAGGGUUCCCAGUCCUUUCAUCGCCUCGAAAAUUCAACUGGUAACUAAGCAUGUAGAAAGCUCUCUGGUGCUUUCGCUGGACGCGAGUUCGACUCUCGCCGUCUCCACCA
rnacentral:tmRNA from 1 species